rnacentral:rRNA from 1 species
GGAUUCCCCUAGUAACGGCGAGUGAAGAGGGAAGAGCUCAAAUUUUGAAUCUGGCGCCUUUGGUGUCCGAGUUGUAAUCUAGAGAAGUGUUUUCCGUGGCGGACCGUGCACAAGUCUCCUGGAAUGGAGCGUCAUAGAGGGUGAGAAUCCCGUAUAUGGCACGGACUCCCGUUGCUCUGUGAUACACUCUCAACGAGUCGAGUUGUUUGGGAAUGCAGCUCUAAUUGGGUGGUAAAUGCCAUCUAAAGCUAAAUAUUGGCGAGAGACCGAUAGCGAACAAGUACCGUGAGGGAAAGAUGAAAAGCACUUUGGAAAGAGAGUGAAACAGUACGUGAAAUUGUUGAAAGGGAAACGCUUGAAGUCAGUCGUGCCCUUCGGGAUUCAGCCUUGCUUCUGCUUGGUUUACUUCCUGUUGGGUGGGUCAACGUCAGUUUCGAUCGGAGGAGAAAGACUUGGGGAAGGUGGCAGCAUUCGUGCUGUGUUAUAGCCCCUUGUUGUAUACUUCGAUUGGGACUGAGGACAGCAGCGCGCCUUUACGGCCGGGGUUCGCCCACGUACGCGCUUAGGAUGUUGGCAUAAUGGCUUUAAGCGACCCGUCUUGAAACACGG